rnacentral:rRNA from 4 species
GGUUAAGCGACUAAGCGUACACGGUGGAUGCCCUGGCAGUCAGAGGCGAUGAAGGACGUGCUAAUCUGCGAAAAGCGUCGGUAAGGUGAUAUGAACCGUUACAGCCGGCGAUGUCCGAAUGGGGAAACCCAGUGUGAUUCGUCACACUAUCGUUAACUGAAUACAUAGGUUAACGAGGCGAACCGGGGGAACUGAAACAUCUAAGUACCCCGAGGAAAAGAAAUCAACCGA